UACGAAGGGGGCGAGCGUUGUUCGGAUUUACUGGGCGUAAAGGGCGCGCAGGCGGCGCAUUUUGUCAGGCGUGAAAGCCCCGGGCUUAACCUGGGAACUGCGUUUGAUACGGAUGGGCUAGAGUUCGGGAGAGGAGAGUGGAAUUCCCAGUGUAGAGGUGAAAUUCGUAGAUAUUAGGAAGAACACCAGUGGCGAAGGCGGCUCACUGGCCCGGUACUGACGCUGAGGCGCGAAAGCGUGGGGAGCAAACAGG
rnacentral:rRNA from 1 species